rnacentral:rRNA from 1 species
AUUGAACGCUGGCGGCAUGCUUUACACAUGCAAGUCGAACGGUAACAGGGAGCUUGCUCCGCUGACGAGUGGCGAACGGGUGAGUAAUGCGUCGGAACGUGCCGAGUAGUGGGGGAUAACGCAUCGAAAGGUAUGCUAAUACCGCAUACGUACUGAGGUAGAAAGUGGGGGACCUUCGGGCCUCACGCUAUUCGAGCGGCCGACGUCUGAUUAGCUAGUUGGUGAGGUAAAGGCUCACCAAGGCGACGAUCAGUAGCGGGUCUGAGAGGAUGAUCCGCCACACUGGGACUGAGACACGGCCCAGACUCCUACGGGAGGCAGCAGUGGGGAAUUUUGGACAAUGGGCGAAAGCCUGAUCCAGCCAUGCCGCGUGUCUGAAGAAGGCCUUCGGGUUGUAAAGGACUUUUGUCGGGGAGGAAAUCCCCAGCGCUAAUACCGCUGGGGGAUGACAGUACCUGAAGAAUAAGCACCGGCUAACUACGUGCCAGCCGCCGCAGUAACAC